AUCUUUAUAGCUUAAAAAGAGCAUAACACUGAAGAUGUUAGGGUGAACUACUUUCUAAAGAUA
rnacentral:tRNA from 1 species